rnacentral:rRNA from 1 species
UGGCUCAGAUUGAACGCUGGCGGCAGGCCUAACACAUGCAAGUCGAGCGGUAGCACAGAGAGCUUGCUCUCGGGUGACGAGCGGCGGACGGGUGAGUAAUGUCUGGGAAACUGCCUGAUGGAGGGGGAUAACUACUGGAAACGGUAGCUAAUACCGCAUAAUGUCGCAAGACCAAAGUGGGGGACCUUCGGGCCUCAUGCCAUCAGAUGUGCCCAGAUGGGAUUAGCUAGUAGGUGGGGUAACGGCUCACCUAGGCGACGAUCCCUAGCUGGUCUGAGAGGAUGACCAGCCACACUGGAACUGAGACACGGUCCAGACUCCUACGGGAGGCAGCAGUGGGGAAUAUUGCACAAUGGGCGCAAGCCUGAUGCAGCCAUGCCGCGUGUGUGAAGAAGGCCUUCGGGUUGUAAAGCACUUUCAGCGGGGAGGAAGGCGGUGAGGUUAAUAACCUCAUCGAUUGACGUUAUCCGCAGAAGAAGCACCGGCUAACUCCGUGCCAGCAGCCGCGGUAAUACGGAGGGUGCAAGCGUUAAUCGGAAUUACUGGGCGUAAAGCGCACGCAGGCGGUCUGUCAAGUCGGAUGUGAAAUCCCCGGGCUUAACCUGGGAACUGCAUUUGAAACUGGCAGGCUAGAGUCUUGUAGAGGGGGGCAGAAUUCCAGGUGUAGCGGUGAAAUGCGUAGAGAUCUGGAGGAAUACCGGUGGCGAAGGCGGCCCCCUGGACAAAGACUGACGCUCAGGUGCGAAAGCGUGGGGAGCAAACAGGAUUAGAUACCCUGGUAGUCCACGCCGUAAACGAUGUCGAUUUGGAGGUUGUGCCCUUGAGGCGUGGCUUCCGGAGCUAACGCGUUAAAUCGACCGCCUGGGGAGUACGGCCGCAAGGUUAAAACUCAAAUGAAUUGACGGGGGCCCGCACAAGCGGUGGAGCAUGUGGUUUAAUUCGAUGCAACGCGAAGAACCUUACCUGGUCUUGACAUCCACAGAACUUUCCAGAGAUGGAUUGGUGCCUUCGGGAACUGUGAGACAGGUGCUGCAUGGCUGUCGUCAGCUCGUGUUGUGAAAUGUUGGGUUAAGUCCCGCAACGAGCGCAACCCUUAUCCUUUGUUGCCAGCGGUUAGGCCGGGAACUCAAAGGAGACUGCCUGUGAUAAACUGGAGGAAGGUGGGGAUGACGUCAAGUCAUCAUGGCCCUUACGACCAGGGCUACACACGUGCUACAAUGGCAUAUACAAAGAGAAGCGACCUCGCGAGAGCAAGCGGACCUCAUAAAGUAUGUCGUAGUCCGGAUUGGAGUCUGCAACUCGACUCCAUGAAGUCGGAAUCGCUAGUAAUCGUAGAUCAGAAUGCUACGGUGAAUACGUUCCCGGGCCUUGUACACACCGCCCGUCACACCAUGGGAGUGGGUUGCAAAAGAAGUAGGUAGCUUAACCUUCGGGAGGGCGCUUACCACUUUGUGAUUCAUGACU